rnacentral:hammerhead_ribozyme from 10 species
AACUAGUCACCUGACGAGCCCAAGGCUGGGCGAAACUAGUC